AUGAACGCUGGCGGCGUGCCUAAUACAUGCAAGUCGAGCGAACAGACGAGGAGCUUGCUCCUCUGACGUUAGCGGCGGACGGGUGAGUAACACGUGGAUAACCUACCUAUAAGACUGGGAUAACUUCGGGAAACCGGAGCUAAUACCGGAUAAUAUAUUGAACCGCAUGGUUCAAUAGUGAAAGACGGUUUUGCUGUCACUUAUAGAUGGAUCCGCGCCGCAUUAGCUAGUUGGUAAGGUAACGGCUUACCAAGGCAACGAUGCGUAGCCGACCUGAGAGGGUGAGCGGCCACACUGGAACUGAGACACGGUCCAGACUCCUACGGGAGGCAGCAGUAGGGAAUCUUCCGCAAUGGGCGAAAGCUUGACGGAGCAACGCCGCGUGAGUGAUGAAGGUCUUCGGAUCGUAAAACUCUGUUAUUAGGGAAGAACAAAUGUGUAAGUAACUAUGCACGUCUUGACGGUACCUAAUCAGAAAGCCACGGCUAACUACGUG
rnacentral:rRNA from 1 species